GCAAAGAAAAGUGGAUACUGUACAACAAUGUGGAACAGAAGAGAUUGUGGGGCAAGCGAAAUGGACCACCACCAACCACACCAAAGGCCGGCCUUCAUCCGUAGAAGGUGAUGUUGUGUAUAUGUUGGGAUUGGAAGGGAGUCCUCUAUUAUGAGCUCCUUCCGGGAAACCAAAUGAUUAAUUCCAACAAGUACUGCUCCCAGUGAGACCAACUGAAAGCAGCACUCGACGAAAAGCGUCUGGAAUUAGUCAACAGGAAACGCAUCAUCUCCCAUCAGGAUAACGCAAGACCGCAUAUUUCUUUGAUGACCAGGCAAAAACUGUUACAGCUUGGCUGGGAAGUUCAGAGUCCUCCGCCGUAUUGCACCUUCAUAUUUCCGCUUAUUUGGGUCUUUACAAAAUUCUCUUAAUGGAAUAAAUUUCGAUUCCCUGAAAGACUGUGAAAGGCGCCUGGAACAGUUCUCUGCUCGAAGAGGUAAAAAGUUUUGGGAAGAUGAACUAUGAAGUUGCCUGAAAAAUGGCAGAAGGUAGUGGAACAAAAGGGUGAAUAUAUUGUUCAAUAAAAUUCUUGGCGAAAAUGAAAAAUGUGUCUUUUAUUUUUACUUAACAACCAAAGGCACUUUUUGGCCCACCCGAUAAAUCCUUCUGAAUGUCAAACAUAAAAUUUAAAAACACUCAAUAUGAGUACGUAUUUUUAACAAUAUGACAAACUUAAUAUUUUUAAUACACAAAGAACUUCAAAACUCAAUAAGAAAAACAUGAAUAUUUCAGUAGCAAAAUAAGCCAAGGAACUGAAGAGCUCGUUGAAAAGAUGUUAAUGUGUAAGAAAAAACAAAAACUUCAAAUCACUUUGCAUCAAAGAAACUCAAAUUCAUGUAACAUUGAGAUGUGCCUCUUUUUGCCUGACUAAUUGGCAAAGGUAAGAAAAAUGCUAACUCUGCCUUAGUAGUGGGUAUUCUCAAACAGUUGGAAAAUUAAGCUGAAAAGCAGUUUGGCUGCAUGCGACAGAGGUAUUAAAAUACCUACGUCAUUAUACCUGGUGUUCCCAUUUAUGGGAUUAUAUCCUUGGGUGGUUAAAAUGGAACUAAUAAAUGUUCUUCAUAAAAGGUAUUUGUUGCAGUGCUCUAUAAAACACCGAAAUAGCGGAAAGGACCUAAACGCCCAACUUUAGGAGAAUGGUUAUACACAGUGAAUGUGAUGCAAAUCAUGAAGUCACAUUCAUUCAUUAAAAAUUCUAUUGAGGACUUUCUAUGUGUUUGAAAUGAUUCUAAAUCCUGGGAAUGCGUCAAUGAGCCAAACAACAAAAAUUCUUGUCUUUGGGGAGUUUACAUUUUUGUGGGGAGAAAACAGAUUUAAAAAAUAACAUAAACAGGGCUUCCCUGGUGGCGCAGUGGUUGAGAGUCCGCCUGCCGAUGCAGGGGACACGGGUUCGUGCCCCGGUCCGGGAAGAUCCCACAUGUUGCGGAGCGGCUGGACCCAUGAGCCAUGGCCGCUGAGCCUGCGGGUCCGCAGCCUGUGCUCUGCAACGGGAGAGGCCACAACAGUGAGAGGCCCGCAUACCGC
ensembl:lncRNA